rnacentral:rRNA from 1 species
UACGUAGGGUGCGAGCGUUUAAUCGGAAUUACUGGGCGUAAAGCGUGCGCAGGCGGUUCUGAAAGUCAGCUGUGAAAGCCCCGGGCUUAACCUGGGAAUGGCGGUUGAAACUACAGGACUAGAAUCUGGCAGAGGGGGGUGGAAUUCCACGUGUAGCAGUGAAAUGCGUAGAGAUGUGGAGGAACACCGAUGGCGAAGGCAGCCCCCUGGGCUGAGAUUGACGCUCAGGCACGAAAGCGUGGGGAGCAAACAGG